rnacentral:misc_RNA from 1 species
GAUGAAGAACGCAGCGAAAUGCGAUAAGUAAUGUGAAUUGCAGAAUUCAGUGAAUCAUCGAAUCUUUGAACGCACAUUGCGCCCGCCAGUAUUCUGGCGGGCAUGCCUGUUCGAGCGUCAUUUCAACCAUCAAGCCCCAGGCUUGUGUUGGGGACCUGCGGCUGCCGCAGGCCCUGAAAACCAGUGGCGGGCUCGCUGUCACACCGGGCGUAGUAGAUUUUAUCUCGCUCAGGGCGUGCUGCGGGUUCCGGCCGUUAAAAAGCCUUUUUUACCCAAGGUUGACCUCGGAUCAGGUAGGAAGACCCGCUGAAUUUAAGCAUAUCAAUAAGCGGAGGA